CACCUGAACUUUGUGUUUCCAAAUUCUUUUGGCCUAUGCCUAAGUUCCCUCCUUUUAAGGGAUUUGAUCAUCCUUUCCCUUUACCUCCACCUUUGGAGCUUCCACCGUUUCCUAAACCAUGCCCACCACCUCCGGUUCCGGUGUACGAGCCACCCCCAAAGGUGGAACUUCCACCACCUGUCCCGGUUCACGAGCCACCCCCAAAGGUAGAGGUUCCACCACCCGUCCCGGUUCACGACCCACCGCCAAAGGUGGAGCACCCACCUCCGGUUCCGGUUUACAAGCCACCUCCAAAGGUAGAGCACCCACCUCCAGUUCCGGUUUACAAGCCGCCUCCAAAGGUAGAGCACCCACCUCCGGUUCCGGUUUACAAGCCACCUCCAAAGGUAGAGCACCCACCUCCGGUUCCAGUACACAAGCCACCAACAAUCCCUAAGAAGCCAUGCCCGCCUAAGUCGCCGAAGAUUGAGCUUCCACCGCCAGUGCCAGUUCACAAACCACCGACUAAGAAGCCUUGUCCGC
rnacentral:lncRNA from 1 species